AUGGCAACCCACAUCACAAAGGGGACAACCCCAAGUUCCGAGCAGAGCGAGGCUGGGUGCCACUUUGCCUGUGAGUUGUCUGGAGAGAGGAGCUUGACUGCUUGGUUCUCUCUGCACGUCACAGACAUGGCUGAUUUCUGGGGAAUGAGCUUUGUCCCCGGCCUGGAGGAUGACGAUAUCUUCUACCCCAUCCUCUGGAUCAUGCUGAUCAUAUCAUUAUUUGUAUUCAUUAUGGCCUGGUGGAAGUGGCAGAAAGAGAGACAGAGGAAGGGCCAACACGGAGGUAACCAGGAGAAUUCUAGAGGUGCUCCCCAUCCACUCACUCUGUCUCCUUUGCCAACAGUAUGGGACUUCCACACGUCUUCACAGCACGCGAGGAUGCACUCCUCAGCGCCCAGGCAAACGGAUGAUACCAGUGAAAGACUCGAUCAGAUGAACAGAAAACUUCAGGCCAUAAACAGAUACUUGGAGACGCUCAUCUUGGACAUGCCUGAGGGCAGCGAUGGUUACACCACCUCGGUCACAGAGAGUGAAAACCUCUGCACUUCAAGGACAUCGCUGUACCCUUUGAGCACCAGUUGCGGGGAAAUGAAGGCACCUUGCCCACACCGAAAAGCCCAGAAGAACUUGGAAAGCUCCAUCCCAGAGAGCAAAGUGGGGCAGGGACUGGGUCUCGGUGAUCGGAAAAAGCCUGUUGCAAGGGUGGUUCCCAUGGUACGGUACCCACCCUUGGUAUAUGAGGCUAUGAGAUGUCAUCCGGGGAAUGUUGACAUGCCAUGGAGGCUUCUACCUCAGGGUGAACUGUUCAGCCCCAUUCCAGUACAUGGAGAGACGAGGCCCAGGCAUGUCGCAGCAGAACAUGAGACAUCUAGGCCAGGGACACCACAUCUGCAUUGCAGAAUCUGCUGUUUGCCAGUCCAUCUCUUGUACGUUUACAUUCAGCGUGCCUGGGCCAAGCUCCCAGCUGCAAGCAAGGCCCUGUAUUACAUGAUCAGAAAGAAAUGUGAGAGCCUCUCAAGGAUGGGAAGGGAGCUCAUCACAGAAAACGGAUUCUCAGAACCAACCAAGCUGGACACAGAUCAGUGUGGGAGUAGACGAUGGCUCAGAUUACUGGCCAAAAGGAA
rnacentral:lncRNA from 1 species